AGAGACGCCAAUGGGUGAAGCAUGGCGAGGAUUUACAAUGAAGCCUGACACAUAGUUACCGCCAAUGACCUCUCCAAAGCCCCAACCUCAGCCAUCAGAGAGUUCCAUUCUCAGGAAACACACACACACACGAAGGCAAAAACACGCGCGCACACAUAACAAACAGACACACACACACGACGUAACAGAAAGCGGAGAAAGCACAGAGAUGAUAAGGAAUAAUCUAAAGACUGAUGUGGAUUGUUGUUGUCAGACUAACUCAAAUUUACAGUAUGGAAUGAUAAUAACAAACUCAUUUGGUCAUGAAAUUUAAAACCUUGACCACUGAGAGCGCUGGAAGGAAUACUAGUGCUCCGACUUCAUAAUGACACCCAAUGAUGUAAUGCUGUUGCUCCUUCUCAAAUCACACCAGAGGGGAAGGUCCCGGAUGGAGAGGACGCAAGGAAUCAAGGAAAGAUCAUUGAGAUGCAGUCCAUCAGGGAAAAGAGAUCCUCCACCAGGUCUUCCCGUAGCACCUUUUCAAAGCUGGUUUCUUCCCAGCAUCAGUACAAAUGAACAGACAAAUGAUAAGUUGGACAGUAGUGACUUCAUGUGUAAAUCAUACCAAAAUAUGGACUCAAGACAUUGCUGACAUUUUUCCUGUGUACUCCAGUAGAUAUUUCCUUUGUAUAUUUAGGUUGCUUUAAUGAGUUAUUAUGCUGUUACUGAGAUGACCAUGCUGGUGUAUAGUUCAACACCAGUGUUAUUUACAGUAAAGGAAAUAUUCAGUUAUGAGAUAUUUCUUUGUUUUCUUCCUCAUCUUUUGGGAUACCAUUUAUCCUUUUUUUCUGCUGAGAAUAUAUAUCCAUUGUUUAUGUAAACCUAUCAGCUUGAGUUGAGAUCUAUAAACAAAUACAGCAGAGAGAAUGCAUGAAUACAUUUAACAAAGGAAAUGUUUGUGGUUAUGCUGACAUUGAGCUCUCCCAUCCUGAGGUUAUGUGGUGUGUGUGUGUGUGUGUGUGUACACUAUGUGUAUGUGAUGUCCAGUCCACAACGAUAUGGGCGGUCUACCCUGCAGUGAAUGUGAUGCUCAGCCACAAGACAGUCAAGCUGCUCUCAGUCAGGCCACUGCAGUGGGGGAGAUUUAUGUGGUCAGGUCAUGUGGAGGACUGGCACGGUGGACUUGCAGUCACUAACCAUUACGGUCACCCCCGGGUCUAACGUCACACAAUCCUCUGUAACAUGAAAGCUGUACUGUACUGAUACUGACCCUCUCCUGCAAUCCAGAGUUCUGACAGACAGUAUAGGAAAAAGGUGCAAAAUAACUGUCCAAAAUCAUGAAUUAAUCAGUAUUGUUAAUCAGAAUGUAUUGCCUUUAACACAUACAGCUCAUAACUGUAUGAAGAAGGGUCUCAUAAAAACUCAAGCUAAUGGAUAGUUUUAUAAUUAUCUGCUAAUACAAUAACUUGAC
rnacentral:lncRNA from 1 species